rnacentral:rRNA from 1 species
AUACGUAGGUGGCAAGCGUUGUCCGGAAUUAUUGGGCGUAAAGCGCGCGCAGGCGGUCCUUUAAGUCUGAUGUGAAAGCCCACGGCUCAACCGUGGAGGGUCAUUGGAAACUGGGGGACUUGAGUGCAGAAGAGGAAAGUGGAAUUCCAAGUGUAGCGGUGAAAUGCGUAGAGAUUUGGAGGAACACCAGUGGCGAAGGCGACUUUCUGGUCUGUAACUGACGCUGAGGCGCGAAAGCGUGGGGAGCAAACAGGAUUAGAUACCCUGGUAGUCCACGCCGUAAACGAUGAGUGCUAAGUGUUAGGGGGUUUCCGCCCCUUAGUGCUGCAGCUAACGCACUAAGCACUCCGCCUGGGGAGUACGGUCGCAAGACUGAAACUCAAAGGAAUUGACGGGG